CUCUCUCCCUCCCCUGCAGGCCUUCUCAGCCACUGUUGGACAGAUCCAUACCUGACUUCAACACCUUCAGCUCAGUCGAGGACUGGCUCACCGCCAUAAAGAUGAGCCAGUACAGAGACAACUUCCUCAACUCAGGCUUUACCUCCCUGCAGCUGGUGGCUCAAAUGACCUCAGAGGAUCUGCUGAGAAUAGGAGUGACCCUGGCGGGCCACCAGAAGAAGAUCCUCAGUAAUAUCCAGUCCAUGAGGGUGCAGAUGAGCCAGGCGCCCAUCACCAUGGCAUGACUACAGGGGGCGCCGUGCCACGGGACGGGCAGCAUUCGCAGGACCAACAACAAUGGCAGCCCUCGAAUGACCCCCGAUCCAUCGGAACGCGCCAGAGUCGAGACUAUUGUCUUAAUCUAAUUCACUACCAUGACAACAGGAGACCAGGGUCUACACUACCACAUGGUUAACAGCUAUCACACUUCAUGCAAUCCACACCAGGAGUUCAGGGUCCAGACUUGAUACUGUUCCUCUUGUCCACGGACAGGAAGAUAGAUGUCACUUGCUUUGGUUACGAACAGCCAUUCAUGUCAUUGUGAACCAAAAUAACACAACAACAAUCAAGACAUCAACACAGGGACUCACUCACAAUUUCAGACUGUACGAUGAACUGAGUGCUGUUGUACUUCCAUAUUAUCUGGACUAAAAGAUGUUCAAACUGUAAACAGAAGCGUGAGACACUUUGAAACAACGUGUGACAUGUGAUUUUUUUCCAUACUGUCGUCAAUGUGUGCAAUGAAGAUGCCUUGACCUGGCCAGAAAUAAGAAAAAAGCAAUUACCAGUAGGAAUAAUAGGAGGGCGGAGAAUACAGGGAUGUACAGAGGAGGUCCAUCGUCAACUUUCAUAUCAUCUUUUGCUUGUUAGAAAGACUUGAAAAUUUGAAAACUGAAAUGGUGAAAAAUGCAGAGCUUAGUUAUAUUUCGGUCUUGGACGAUCUGUUUGUUUUUUGGUUUGUUUUUAUCACUAUAGCAAGAUGCCGUCCACUUGUAUUUUAACUUUAACACUACCUGUGGAGUCCUGGGUGGAAGGCCUUGCCAAAGGACUUCUUAGCCAGCCCCACCCAGAUUCAGAGAAUAUAAAUAUGUUUAUCUCUUGCUAAAUAUGAUUAUAUCUUUCAUAAUUAACCUUCAUAUUGAAGGUGAUAUAUAUGAAUAUGUAUGUACAGAACUCUCUGCUUGCAUUUUUGGCAAAGACAUGUUUGUUGAUUAGAUUGUUAUGAUUAGACACAUGAAAUGUGUAGAUUCCCAUGGUGCCCUGGUUCCCCUCCGGACGACUGAAUAACGGAUACUGGCUUGUGUGUCUCCCUGUUCCAGGGGGACGAGGACAAUCCUGACUGAAUCUUAACUGAACGGAAUCAUGGGUGAAUAAUUGGUAUUGUAGAUCUAUAUGAAAAUUGCUGUAGGCGUUUAAAUAAUUGACAAAAUAUGCGUUUAUUGGAGAUCAUGUUAAAUGUGGGUGUACACAUGCUGUUUCUUGCUGGUGAGCACUUACUUGUACAGAUAUGGUUUAUGUUUUGUUUUCUUUUUGAUCUGUUGUUGUUUGUGUUGGGAGUGUUCAGCACCAUCCAGAGGGGAAGGAAACUCCAAGAACUGACUGGCUCAAAUCUAUGACUUACACACAUAUUAAACAGCACACACACAACACUUCAUAUUCGCACACUCACACACAAAAACACACACUGCGCACCCAGAAGAAUUGCUGUUGCCAGCCGACAAAGAGGAAGCCCAGUACUCUUCCAGAGAACCAGUCACAACCUCCCUAUGGUACAAAAUGGUGGAACUGAAUAUGACUGCACGCUUCAUAGUUUGUUUAUUUGUGUAUGUCUGUGAGAGAGAGUGUGAUUGUGUGUGUGUGUGUGUGUGUAGCAAGCGCAUUAGUGUGUACAGACAUAUAUGUGUGCACAGGUACAUUGUUUAAAUGUGUGAACGUUUCUUUUAUUUUUUGUUUUUGUAUAGCUACCACUUGUAAAUUGUGACAUGUGUCAAGAGUUUGUAAGCUGUAACUUUCUGAGAACUAUUGUACUAAAAAUGCACUCAAUAAAGGCCUUG